rnacentral:rRNA from 1 species
UACGUAGGGGGCAAGCGUUGUCCGGAAUCACUGGGCGUAAAGGGCGCGUAGGCGGCCUGAUAAGUAGGGGGUGAAAUCCUGUGGCUUAACUGCAGGGCUGCCUCCGAGACUGUUAGGCUCGAGCACGGUAGAGGCAGAUGGAAUUCCCGGUGUAGCGGUGGAAUGCGUAGAGAUCGGGAAGAACAUCGGUGGCGAAGGCGGUCUGCUGGGCCGUUGCUGACGCUGAGGCGCGAAAGCGUGGGGAGCAAACAGG